UCAGAAACUAGUCGGCGUGGAAGACCAAA
rnacentral:piRNA from 1 species